UUUGUUUAAAUCAUUCUGGUCCACACUUUGAAAAUUGAACUCACACAAAGUGGUGGGACAUACAUUGAUUUCAUCCAA
rnacentral:pre_miRNA from 1 species